rnacentral:piRNA from 1 species
UCAUAUGGUGAUAAUGGUCCC